CCGAUUUGAGUGGAUUUUGGGGCUGAUUUUGGGUCAGUUUCACUCGUGUUUGGGGCUGAUUUUGCGCCAUUUUCUCUCAAUUUUGGGCCAUUUUCCCUGGGUUUUGGGGCUGAUUUUGGGUCAGUUUCACUCCAUUUUGGGGCUGAUUUUGGGCCAUUUUCUCUCAAUUUUGGGCCAUUUUCACUCCGUUUUGGGGCUGAUUUUGGGCCGAUUUGAGUGGAUUUUGGGGCUGAUUUUGGGCCGGUUUCACUCCGUUUUGGGGCUGGCUUUGUGCCCUGCUCUCCAGCGCCGCAGGUUGAGCGCCAGCAGCGCCAGGUUCACGCCGUACGUGCUGAGGCACACCACGCACAGGUCCUCGAAGUUUUGGGGACAUUUCACUCAGUUUUGGGCAACCUCAGUCCAUUUUGCGUCAGUUUCCCUCCAUUUUGGGUCAUUUUGAGUCGGUUUCUCUCCAUUUUGGGGCUGAUUUUGGGUCAGUUUCUCUCCAUUUUGGGCCAUUUUUGGGUCAUUUUCACUCAGUUUUCGGUCAUUUUCUCUCCAUUUUGGGUCAGUUUUCUCUCCAUUUUGGGUCGGUUUCAGUUUCAGUCCGUUUUAGGUCCGUUUUCUCUCAGUUUUGGGUGGUUUCCGUU
rnacentral:lncRNA from 14 species